CUUGAACAUUAUAAGAGGUCCCGCCUGCCCAGUGACUCUGUUCAACGGCCGCGGUAUCCUAACCGUGCGAAGGUAGCGUAAUCACUUGUUCUUUAAAUAAGGACUAGUAUGAAUGGCACCACGAGGGUUAUACUGUCUCCCUCUUUUAAUCAGUGAAACUAAUCUCCCCGUGAAGAAGCGUGGAUAAUACUAUAAGACGAGAAGACCCUAUGGAGCUUUAAACUAGUUUCCCAACAACCUCACCUCCUUUUUAAGCUUAUGCUUUUAAUAAUCAGUCCGGUUCUAUGGGAACAAGUUUUAGGUUGGGGUGACCACGGAGUAAAAAACAACCUCCGAGCUGUAAGGGACUACUCCCUGAACAACAAACUACAACUUUAUGUACCAAUAUAUUGACACCUAUUGACCCAAUAUUUUGAUCAACGAAC
rnacentral:rRNA from 1 species